CACCAUCAUUAAUGUAUAAUGCCUCAAAAGAAUAUUGGAGAAGAGUACUAAAAUGUAUAAAGAUAAAAGUAUCCUGUCUCCAUCGAAUUAACACAAACAGAUAGUUGGUAUUCACUUUGGUAAAUUAUUGGGAAGAAUUCAAAAUCUUAACGCCAUAUAACCAUAAAAAUUUCAAGAAGUCAUCGCUUGAUCAGCAAAACGAGACGAUGAACACAAGAGGCGUAAUAUUUAUCCUGUUCUUGGUCCUUCCUUGGGCAUCAUGUUGCCCAGAUGGUCAAUAUCUGAGCACUUUUCUUAACGAUUGUGUUGACUGUCCCGUCAACCCCUCAUCUAACUGUGCUGAAGUUGAUAAUACUGAUGUUUGUUUGACAAGUUGUAAGUCAGACAAAGAUGAAAAAGAUACUGUGGUCAUCUUUGAGGGGAAAAUUUCUAAGAAUAUCACGCAAGAAAAAAAUCAUGGCAAGGCCAUAACCCAAGAAAGCAACACACCAAUGGCGUUGAUAAUCUCUCUAACGUUGACGACGAUACUUUUGGCUGUUCUGAUAAUCUAUUUGAAAUAUCUCUGUAAGAGAAGAAAGAGUCAGUCAGUGACAACACUGGAAAGUUCUGUUCCUGUUGAACACAGAGAUAGUUCAUCGAGUUUGCAUUCACAUGAAGAAAGACAUGGUGAUCAAAGCGACGACUCACGAAGUCCUCACGAGAAUGUAGAUGCAAGUACUGCUUUCAUUGACGAGACUACCACAAGUUUUGUAGACAUUUCACUAAAUCCUGGCGAAAUUGAGCCAAAUCGUGACAGGAAUGUAUCAAGUCUGGAUGAUAACAUUUCAUACCAAAGUACACAUGUACCUCGAGAUCUAAAUAUCCGGAAAGAUCAAGAAAGAGAAACCUUUAUUAGGUAAAUGGAAGCUAACAUUUAUUUUCCUUUUAUUUAUUUACUGGGAUUGACAAUAUUGUAGAUUAUAAGAUAAAUGUUUAUUGUUAUCUUUUAUUGAUGACAAUUUUGAGGGUAUGUAAAUGAGAAUAUAUUAUAAUUACGUGAUAUAUAACACAUGAAAUGGUGAACCUGGUUUUAUGGUUUAUAUAAAUUUUUUAAUAAUAUGGAGAUAUUUUUUAGAUUAGACUGCUGUUAAAGGUUGCUAUAUGCAUUGAAA